GACGAACCGUACAAACGUUAUUCGGAAUCACUGGGCUUAAAGGGUGCGUAGGCGGCUUUGCAAGUCGGGUGUGAAAGCCCUCGGCUCAACCGAGGAAUUGCGCCCGAAACUGCCGAGCUUGAGGGACACAGAGGUAAGCGGAACUUAGGGUGGAGCGGUGAAAUGCGUUGAUAUCCUAAGGAACACCAGGAGCGAAAGCGGCUUACUGGGUGUCUUCUGACGCUGAGGCACGAAAGCCAGGGGAG
rnacentral:rRNA from 1 species